rnacentral:misc_RNA from 1 species
AAGAUUGACCGAAAGGUCUUAUCUCUAUAUCCCUCACCUCUGUGAACUGUGGACCUCCGGGUCUAUUUAACAAACAUCAGUGUAAUGAACGUAUAUAACAUUAAACAAAACA